rnacentral:rRNA from 1 species
AGUGAACGCUGGCGGUAGGCCUAACACAUGCAAGUCGAACGGCAGCACAGUAAGAGCUUGCUCUUACGGGUGGCGAGUGGCGGACGGGUGAGGAAUACAUCGGAAUCUACUUUUUCGUGGGGGAUAACGUAGGGAAACUUACGCUAAUACCGCAUACGACCUACAGGUGAAAGCAGGGGAUCUUCGGACCUUGCGCGAUUGGAUGAGCCGAUGUCGGAUUAGCUAGUUGGCGGGGUAAAGGCCCACCAAGGCGACGAUCCGUAGCUGGUCUGAGAGGAUGAUCAGCCACACUGGAACUGAGACACGGUCCAGACUCCUACGGGAGGCAGCAGUGGGGAAUAUUGGACAAUGGGCGCAAGCCUGAUCCAGCCAUACCGCGUGGGUGAAGAAGGCCUUCGGGUUGUAAAGCCCUUUUGUUGGGAAAGAAAAGCAGCAGGUUAAUACCCCGCUGUUCUGACGGUACCCAAAGAAUAAGCACCGGCUAACUUCGUG